rnacentral:rRNA from 1 species
CCUACGGGGGGCAGCAGUGGGGAAUAUUGGACAAUGGGGGCAACCCUGAUCCAGCCAUGCCGCGUGUGUGAAGAAGGCCCUCGGGUUGUAAAGCACUUUCAGUGAGGAAGAACGCCUGGUGGUUAAUACCCAUCAGGAAAGACAUCACUCACAGAAGAAGCACCGGCUACUCCGUGCCAGCAGCCGCGGUAAUACGGAGGGUGCGAGCGUUAAGCGGAAUUACUGGGCGUAAAGCGCGCGUAGGUGGCUUGAUAAGCCGGUUGUGAAAGCCCCGGGCUCAACCUGGGAACGGCAUCCGGAACUGUCAAGCUAGAGUGCAGGAGAGGAAGGUAGAAUUCCCGGUGUAGCGGUGAAAUGCGUAGAGAUCGGGAGGAAUACCAGUGGCGAAGGCGGCCUUCUGGACUGACACUGACACUGAGGUGCGAAAGCGUGGGUAGCAAACAGGGUUAGAUACCCGAGUAGUC